rnacentral:rRNA from 1 species
UUAUUGGAGAGUUUGAUCCUGGCUCAGGAUGAACGCUGGCGGCGUGCCUAAUACAUGCAAGUCGAGCGAAUGGAUUAAGAGCUUGCUCUUAUGAAGUUAGCGGCGGACGGGUGAGUAACACGUGGGUAACCUGCCCAUAAGACUGGGAUAACUCCGGGAAACCGGGGCUAAUACCGGAUAAUAUUUUGAACUGCAUAGUUCGAAAUUGAA